rnacentral:rRNA from 1 species
GGGGGGUGGCUAGUGCCCGCCAGAGGACUAUCAAACUCCAGUCAGUAAACGUUGCAGUCUGAAAAAAAUAUUAAAUAAACUAAAACUUUCAACAACGGAUCUCUUGGUUCUGGCAUCGAUGAAGAACGCAGCGAAAUGCGAUAAGUAAUGUGAAUUGCAGAAUUCAGUGAAUCAUCGAAUCUUUGAACGCACAUUGCGCCCCUUGGUAUUCCGGGGGGCAUGCCUGUUCGAGCGUCAUUUCAACCCUCAAGCUCUGCUUGGUAUUGGGCACCGUCCUUUGCGGGCGCGCCUCAAAGACCUCGGCGGUGGCGUCUUGCCUCAAGCGUAGUAGAAUACACCUCGCUUCGGAGCGUAAGGCGUCGCCCGCCGGACGAACCUUCUGAACUUUUCUCAAGGUUGACCUCGGAUCAGGUAGGGAUACCCGCUGAACUUAAGCAUAUCA